rnacentral:rRNA from 1 species
AGAGUUUGAUCCUGGCUCAGGAUGAACGCUAGCUACAGGCUUAACACAUGCAAGUCGAGGGGCAGCAUGGUCUUAGCUUGCUAAGGCCGAUGGCGACCGGCGCACGGGUGAGUAACACGUAUCCAACCUGCCGUCUACUCUUGGACAGCCUUCUGAAAGGAAGAUUAGUACAAGAUGGCAUCAUGAGUCCGCAUGUUCACAUGAUUAAAGGUAUUCCGGUAGACGAUGGGGAUGCGUUCCAUUAGAUAGUAGGCGGGGUAACGGCCCACCUAGUCUUCGAUGGAUAGGGGUUCUGAGAGGAAGGUCCCCCACAUUGGAACUGAGACACGGUCCAAACUCCUACGGGAGGCAGCAGUGAGGAAUAUUGGUCAAUGGGCGAGAGCCUGAACCAGCCAAGUAGCGUGAAGGAUGACUGCCCUAUGGGUUGUAAACUUCUUUUAUAAAGGAAUAAAGUCGGGUAUGCAUACCCGUUUGCAUGUACUUUAUGAAUAAGGAUCGGCUAACUCCGUGCCAGCAGCCGCGGUAAUACGGAGGAUCCGAGCGUUAUCCGGAUU